ACAGAUUCACAAAUCGUGUUGAUUUUUAUCAACUCCUAGCCAACAAACAAACGUUACAAUUCGCUAGUGCAGCACGGAGCUCGCUCGAUGAAGGUCGGCACGAUCGCUCCCGGCAGGCUCGCAGUCAUUGUUCUACUCGUUCUAGCAAACAAAAAUAUUUUUUGAAAGGAAAAGCACACAUCCUCACCGGGCAAUUCUUAUGUUUGUUUCCUGUUCCUUACCGUCACCCGUAAAUGGGUGACGGGCAGUACCUCCUUCAUUUCCCACUAUUUUUCCUCCACUAUUUUAUUGAAGCCUUUUUCUCUCCCAAUUUCCAAUGCGGUGGCGUUGGCAAUGAGCGUUUCUUCAGCGUUUGUUUUCUCUCGAAACCAUUUUCCUGCGUUUUCUUUCGAUCCUGUUGCUAUUUGUGCUGCUGCUGGUGUUGGAGGCAUGCGUUGCAUGCAUGGACAUUUUCCGGACAGAAAUAUUUUUGCAAGCAGCGACUAUGCUCCCGCAGCAUAGUCGAGAAGGGAUGGUCUGUCUUGAAAAUUGGACACAAGGGAAGAGAACAAAAGUGCUAAGCAAUAGUGAUUGAUGAAUAUUGAACGCUUGGUGGAGAUCAGCGAAUGAAAGAAAUGUUUAAAAAUAAAUAUUUUAUCCCAAA